rnacentral:rRNA from 1 species
AUUGAACGCUGGCGGCAUGCCUUACACAUGCAAGUCGAACGGUAACGGGCCUUCGGGUGCCGACGAGUGGCGAACGGGUGAGUAAUACAUCGGAACGUGCCCGAUCGUGGGGGAUAACGAGGCGAAAGCUUUGCUAAUACCGCAUACGAUCUACGGAUGAACGCAGGGGACCGCAAGGGCUUGCGCGGACGGAGCGGCCGAUGGCCGAUUCGGUUGUUGGUGGGAUAAAAGCUUACCAAGCCGACGAUCUGUAGCUGGGCUGGGAGGAUGAUCAGCCACACUGGGACUGAGACACGGCCCAGACUCCUACGGGAGGCAGCAGUGGGGAAUUUUGGACAAUGGGCGCAAGCCUGAUCCAGCCAUGCCGCGUGCAGGAUGAAGGCCUUCGGGUUGUAAACUGCUUUUGUACGGAACGAAAAGCCUUCUUUUAAUACAGGAGGGUCAUGACGGUACCGUAAGAAUAAGCACCGGCUAACUACGUG